rnacentral:tRNA from 2 species
GCGCCUGUAGCUCAGAAGGACAGAGCAAGGGGUUCCUAACCCCUGAGCCGCAGGUUCGAGUCCUGCCAGGCGCA